UCCAAAAUCCAAUCUAAUUCUAACAAUAUCUACUUCGUUAUAAGUUGAAAUUGAAUUUCAUCGUUCUUGCUCAUUGAGUGCACCAAGUGGAUUGUGACCCAUCAUCAAUUCACCCUUUCCCUUGCCAACUAGUUUAGUUGAAUAGAUUUGAAAGAUUUUUCUCUUUUUAGUAGAAAUUGUUUAAGUUGAAAUUUUUUUCUCUUUUAGUUGAAUAUCUGAGCAUGCUUAGGUCUAGAUCAGACAAGGGCAAAACUAUUUUAGCACAGGCGGCACAAUGAUUAAACCUUGUGCUUGCCCCUACCAUGUCAUGACCCUCCAAAAGAACAAAAGUUUCAACCUUACUACACGUAGCACGGCUCAACAUUUUAAACCAUACUAUAUAAUGCUAGUGUAAUUCAGAAACAGUCCACACAAGUAUUUAAUACGGGGCUUUAUAUAUGUUAUUCAUAGUUCUACCAUUCCCAGUGUAUUUGGAAGGAACAUCCUUCACACAGAAGGCCAGAAACAUUUUGGCAUUAACACUGACUGAUGCCUCUAUUCAUCAUCAUCACAUUCUUUCAAUGUAAGUAAACUGAAAAUCAUCCAUGUUCAUGUCCUCAAAACCCUUGAAAGAUGGCUUUAGCUUCUAUUUAUUUCAUACUGUUUUUUUUUUUCAUGAGAUAUGCCGUUCCUGAAAAAUCAGAACGUUGUGCAUGAAUAAACUGGGAAAUACAACUUAAAUUAUUGUUAAUCACUUGUCGUCCUUGCAUAACUGGAAUUGGAUGGACACUAACACAAACACCGGCAGCGCGAGCAACGACGCGGUGGCCAUCACUGUCAGCGAGCUGCCGCUGCUCUGCCACAGUGCCCUGUCAGUGCCACAGAUCACUGGCUGCAUCUCAGCAUUUACCUCAAGUGCCAAACAGUACUUGCAAGGACACGCCUCAAAAGACCUGGUGCUCUCCCCCUGAACACCUGCAGGCUUGUUACUACUAUCUGAUUUACGUCGACGUCGCAAAACAGGAUCUUAAUUCUCUCCGAAUCUUUUUUUCCCCCACGACCGACUCAGCCUGAGGCGAGCCGUUCCACCAACCGCUCCUCUUUUUCUCGCCGUCGCCAUCGCACCGAGCAGUCGCGGCGAAAAGGACCGGCGUGUGUAUUUAUGUGUGGUUCUGCGUGCUUCGACGGGUCAACAAAGGGAACUAAAACGUCGCACGGGCAGCUGUAGCCAUCGGUGCGAAAAAGGCGAGUUCGACGUGAGGUUUGUUUGGUAUCGCCCUUUCCUAUUUCUUUUUUAACGUGAACGUCAGGAAGCUUCUUCAUUCCUUCCCUCUUGUUUUGAAAAAAAUUAAAUUAAAGUUUAUGCUUGUUUCAAA